rnacentral:lncRNA from 12 species
AUGAUGCCCCGGGGGAGUCCAGGGAGCGGGGACCCCGUCCUGAGGUCUCGGUCCCCCGGGGAUCGUGCAGGGAGCGGGGACCCUGUCCUGACGGUCUGGGUCCCCCGGGGAGAGUCCAGGGAGCGGGGACCCCGUCCUGAGGGUCUCUCGGUCCCCGGGGAUCGUGCAGGGAGCGGGGACCCCGUCCUGAGGGUCUCGGUCCCCCGGGGAGAGUCCAGGGAGCGGGGACCCCGUCCUGAGGGUCAUGGUCCCCCGGGGAGAGUCCAGGGAGCGGGGACCCAGUCCUGAGGUCUCGGUCCCCCGGGGAGAGUCCAGGGAGUGGGGACCCCGUCCUGAGGGUCUCGGUCCCCCGGGAGAGUCCAGGGAGCGGGGACCAGUCCUGAGGUCUCGGUCCCCGGGGAGAGUCAGGGAGCGGGGACCCCGUCCUGAGGGUCUCGGU